rnacentral:rRNA from 1 species
UACGGGGGGGGCAAGCGUUGUUCGGAAUUACUGGGCGUAAAGGGCUCGUAGGCGGCCAACUAAGUCAGACGUGAAAUCCCUCGGCUUAACCGGGGAACUGCAUCUGAUACUGGAUGGCUUGAGUUCGGGAGAGGGAUGCGGAAUUCCCAGUGUAGAGGUGAAAUUCGUAGAUAUUGGGAAGAACACCGGUGGCGAAGGCGGCGACCUGGUCCUUGACUGACGCUGAGGCGCGAAAGCGUGGGGAGCAAACAGG